rnacentral:rRNA from 1 species
AUACGUAGGUGGCAAGCGUUGUCCGGAUUUACUGGGCGUAAAGGAUGCGUAGGCGGAUAUUUAAGUGAGAUGUGAAAUUCCCGGGCUUAACUUGGGGGCUGCAUUUCAAACUGGGUAUCUAGAGUGCAGGAGAGGAGAAUGGAAUUCCUAGUGUAGCGGUGAAAUGCGUAGAGAUUAGGAAGAACACCAGUGGCGAAGGCGAUUCUCUGGACUGUAACUGACGCUGAGGCAUGAAAGCGUGGGUAGCAAACAGGAUUAGAUACCCUGGUAGUCCACGCCGUAAACGAUGAGUACUAGGUGUAAGAGGGUCCAACCUUCUGUGCCGCAGUUAACACAAUAAGUACUCCGCCUGGGAAGUACGAUCGCAAGAUUAAA